UACGUAGGGAGCAAGCGUUGUCCGGAAUCAUUGGGCGUAAAGCGCGCGUAGGUGGCCCCAUAAGUCCGCUGUGAAAGUCAAAGGCUCAACCUUUGAAAGCCGGUGGAUACUGUGGGACUAGAGUACGGAAGAGGCGAGUGGAAUUCCUGGUGUAGCUGUGGAAUGCGCAGAUAUCAGGAGGAACACCAAUAGCGAAGGCAGCUCGCUGGGACGUUACUGACACUGAGGCGCGAAAGCGUGGGGAGCGAACAGG
rnacentral:rRNA from 1 species